UACAGAGGGUGCAAGCGUUAAUCGGAAUUAUUGGGCGUAAAGCGCGCGUAGGCGGUUUUGUAAGUCGGGUGUGAAAUCCCCAAGCUUAACUUGGGAACUGCAUUCGAGACUGCAUAGCUAGAGUAUGGGAGAGGGAAGUGGAAUUUCAGGUGUAGCGGUGAAAUGCGUAGAUAUCUGAAGGAACAUCAGUGGCGAAAGCGACUUCCUGGACCAAUACUGACGCUCAUGUGCGAAAGCGUGGGGAGCAAACAGG
rnacentral:rRNA from 1 species